CUAGCUAAUUUUUGUAUUUUUAGUAGAGACGGGGUUUCACCAUAUUGGCCAGGCUGGUCUUGAACUACGGACCGCAGGUGAUCCGCCUGCCUAAGCCUCCCAAAGCGCUGGGAUUACAGGUGUGAGCCACGGCACAUGGCCUAUCUUAUUGUUUUAAUUUCCAUGUUGAUAUCCAAUUGCUCCAGUACCAUUUGUUGAAAAGAUUAUCUUUUUUCCCUUUGAAUUACCUCGGUGCCUUUCUUGAGAGAAAAGUAACCAUAGUUAUGUUAGUUUAUUUCUGCAUCCUAUAUUCUUUUUCCACUAAUAAAUAUGUCUAUCCUUAUGCCAACAUGAGACUCUCUUAAUUACUAUAGCUUUCUAGUGAGGUUUGGAAUCAGGUAGAAUAAUUCUAACUAUGUUGUUCCAUAAAAUGUUUUUGCUAAUUCUAGAUUUUAUUUUUGCACUUCCACAAACAUUUUAGGAUCAGCUUGUCAGCUUCUUUUAAAACCUGCUGGAAUUUUGACAGGAAUUGCACUGAAUCUAUAGAUCAAUUGCUGUCUCAACAAUAUUGAAUCUUCUGAUCCAGGAGCAUGGCAAGAACAUUCAGUCCAAUAUGAAUAAAAGAGGUGAGAGUGGACAUUCUUGCCUCAUUCCCUUGGGAGAAAACAUUCAGUCUUUCACUAUUAAAGAUGAUGUUAUCUUUAAAUUUUUGGUACAUGCCUUUUAUCAGAUUGAAGUUACCUUUUUUUCUGGUUUGUUAAGAGUUUUUUUAUGGUUAUUAUUAAUGGGUGUUGGAUUUUGGCAAUGUGUUUUUCUGUUUCUGUUGACAUGGUUGUAUAACUUUUGUAUUUUUUAAUAUAGUGUAGUACAUGAAUUCUUUCAGAGGUUAAACCAACUUUGAAUUCCCAGAAUAGACCCUGCUUUGUCAUGAUAUAAAAUGCAUUUUAUAUAUUGCUGGAUUUGAUUUGCUAUUAUGUUGCUAAGGAUUUUUGUAUUCGUAUUCAUAAGGGAAUAUUGUUCUGUAGUUUUAUUUUCUUGUAAGAUUUUUGUGUGGCUUUGAUAUCAGGGUAAUACUGGCUCUAUUAAAUUAACUGGAAAGGGUUCUUUUUUUU
rnacentral:lncRNA from 1 species